GGUAGUGCGAUCAUCCGCUGUC
rnacentral:miRNA from 1 species